GUAGGUGGCAAGCGUUGUCCGGGAAUUAUUGGGGCGUAAAGCGCGCGCAGGCGGUUCUUUAAGUCUGAUGUGAAAGCCCACGGGCUCAACCGUGGAGGGUCAUUGGAAACUGGAGAACUUGAGUACAGAAGAGGAAAGCGGAAUUCCACGUGUAGCGGUGAAAUGCGUAGAGAUGUGGAGGAACACCAGUGGCGAAGGCGGCUUUCUGGUCUGUAACUGACGCUGAGGCGCGAAAGCGUGGGGAGCAAACAGGAUUAGAUACCCUGGUAGUCCACGCCGUAAACGAUGAGUGCUAAGUGCUAGGGGGUUUCCGCCCCUUAGUGCUGCAGCUAACGCAUUAAGCACUCCGCCUGGGGAGUACGGCCGCAAGGCUG
rnacentral:rRNA from 1 species